AUUUAGUUGAGAUUUUGAAACACUUGUUUAACCCCUCGCCAUUUAAGUAUCUGUUCCAAGUCUGGGGCCUCUGGCCUAUGUUAGUUUGGGAUGAACUUUUAUUUUAGAUUUGAGUUUAGUAUGACUUUCAUAUCACUAUUCACUGAUCUGGUAAAAAAAAAAAGCCAUUUCUGUUUUUUAGAGGGAUUCCUUCAGAUGCUUGGCCCCAACUGCAGAUGUUUAUCCUGCUAUUACCCCAAGGGAAUUUUUACAGUUAUUUCAGACCUUUAGUAACCGUUUAUUUGUAAGUUCCACACCACCCGUACAUACCAUGUAUCAGAGAGGACAGUCUUUCUUUUUUUGAUGAGUUCGGUUCUCU
rnacentral:lncRNA from 1 species